GGACGAACGCUGGCGGCGUGCCUAAUACAUGCAAGUAGAACGCUGAAGGAGGAGCUUGCUCUUCUGGAUGAGUUGCGAACGGGUGAGUAACGCGUAGGUAACCUGCCUGGUAGCGGGGGAUAACUAUUGGAAACGAUAGCUAAUACCGCAUAACAGUAGAUGUUGCAUGACAUUUGCUUAAAAGGUGCAAUUGCAUCACUACCAGAUUGACCUGCGUUGUAUUAGCUAGUUGGUGGGGUAACGGCUCACCAAGGCGACGAUACAUAGCCGACCUGAGAGGGUGAUCGGCCACACUGGGACUGAGACACGGCCCAGACUCCUACGGGAGGCAGCAGUACGGAAUCUUCGGCAAUGGACGGAAGUCUGACCGAGCAACGCCGCGUGAGUGAAGAAGGUUUUCGGAUCGUAAAGCUCUGUUGUAAGAGAAGAACGAGUGUGAGAGUGGAAAGUUCACACUGUGACGGUAUCUUACCAGAAAGGGACGGCUAACUACGU
rnacentral:rRNA from 1 species